CGAUGGAAAAAGUCACACACCCCCCGGUUUCGGCGAUUCGUCACAACAAGCGCCAAAAAAGCCGAGACUCCGCACCGGUGAAAAACGGCACAGACGACCACAUAAAUCUAGAGCUGGGGGAUUCCGGCGCACCGCGCAUUCAGAAUGGAACACCCAAGAGACCUGUUUUUAACGACAUUUCGGAUGUUGAUGAUCAGCUAUUCAGUGAUGCGGCCAACCUUGUAGACCCAGUCAAUUCUACGGCCUCAGUACCGGCAGCCGAACAAGAAAGGUUUUUCACAUUAUUUUCCAGGGCUUUGAAAUCGAGGAAUGUUUUGCUAUACAAACGACUGGGGGAUUUAAUUGAGAGACAGUACAGAGACGAUAUGUUAUUCUGGCAUAGAACAAUUCCACGCAUGUUAAACAGCAACCCCAUUAAAAAACGCAAAUACAGACGCUAAAAGCAUACAUGUAACAACAACCAUUACAGAAAAAAAUAAAAUAAUAAAUAAAUUAAAAUAAAAUAA